GGAGCUGUGGCUUAGUUGGUUAAAGCACCUGUCUAGUAAGCAGGAGAUCCUGAGUUUGAAUCUCAGCAGAGUAU